CAAAAGCAGCAGAAGUUAAACGCAAAGGUAACGCGGCACACGCAAGAGCAAGCAGCAGUUUUUGUGUGUGUGUGUGUGUGUGUGUCUGUUUUUUUACUGUAAGCGCUCGGAGUUUCCCGCGAAUGCAAGAGGAACCCGGCGUCUCGAGCAGAAUGAAUGGUUAUCCAGCCACCAUAAACAGCGCUAGAGCGAAGGAAGCUGUUAAAAGAUGCAGCGCCGGGAGUCUUUUAAAGCCUGGUUCUUCUGGAGACUUUGCAGAGCUCAACCACGGAAGUCAGAGCGCUAUGGGCCGAAGAUGACCGAUAAAGGUCCAGACAUGAAGGAGACAGCGUCUUGUCUGUGGCAUCUCACAAUGUGAAGAGCUUUCAGCGUGUUGUGAGUUUCCAAAGUUGUUUCAGGAGAUACACUGGAUUAGGUGGGAUGCCAAAUCACUCCUGGCGACUGGUGAGAUGAGUUUAAAUGUUCAGAUGAUAGUUCACCUUAAAAUGACAUUUCUGUCAUCAUUCAUGUUGUUCCAACCCUGUAUGAGUUUCUUUCUUCUGUUGAACACAAAUGAAGAUAUUUCAAAGACUGUUGGUAACCAAAUGUUUUCUAGUCUCCACUGACUUCCAUGGAAUGGAGAAAAAAAAUACUGUGGAAGUCAAAGGCCACCAGUAACUGUUUUGGUACCAACAAAUUAAUUAAUGUUUGGAAGAAUAUAUGGAUGAAUAAAAGAUGACAGAAGUUUCAUUUUUAUUCCUUUAAAGGUGCUUUCAGUACUUUUUACCAUUUAAACAAACAGAAAUACUUCAAAAUAAAUAGUACUAGUGAUUUUAAAAGUCAUAUCAGUAGCCCAAUAAAAGAUGCUUUAUUUUACACAGAGUGGGUCGUCUUAUGAAGGCCAUCAUUUUAAGAUGUUAUCGAGCUGAAAACUACUCAUUUGAAUUAUCAUAAUAUUGUAAACUUUUGCUUGCUGAAUAUAUUAAUCACAGUGUGAAAAUUUGCCUUUCUACAAUCUAACUGAAUGCUUUGCAUCCACACCAUCUAGAUGUCAGUAUGUCAUGUUCGAAAUUGUA